UAACAAUGACAAAUUUCAACAAUUUAAGCUGACUGGGCUAUUGUGUAGUUAAAUAGUGUAUUUCUUUUAUUCCUGAUGAUGACAUAAUUAAUGUCGAAAUAUUGAAUCCCAACACGAUGGCGUGUAUUUCAAUACUUGGAUCAUUUACAGGACUGAAUUGUUUGGGAUCUGUUGUGCAAGUCAGCUCUCUCUGCCUGGUGGUGUCGUUCUAGUGACAUAGUUGGAACGUACAGUAUAGUAAAUAAUAUUGGAUAAGAAUGCAGAGCGUAAAUCAAUCUACUUAAUUGUUUAUUUUUUAUGCAAGUAGUCUGAAGCUGUCAGUGGUUUGAACAUGUCUGGUUGAAUUCGAACCUGCACGUGUGUGACAUACGUCCAGACCACCUCAUCCUAUACGGUAUAAGCGCAAACCAAUCCAUCAGAUACUACAUACAACUGAGCAUAGAGCAAAUAUAUCUGUUUUUUUGCUUUAUGAACUGAUUUACCUCAUUGAUAAUGGAGAUAUGAUUGUGCUAGAAACUAGCUUGGAGCUUACAGCUGGGAAUCCAGACAUUUUAACAUUGCUAACUACUCUUUUUUCAUAAUUGCUAACUACUAUUUGCGCUAUACCGAGAUCAGAAGGCUUUUAAAUUUGCGUUUGAAACUAGAAACAGAAGUUUAUUUUUAAAAUUAGGAGGUAUAAUCUUCCAGAGUUUAGAACUGUUAAAGAAGACUGAAGAGCACCUAAGUUUUGGAAAGGAUAAAUCGCAAGUAAAGUUAGUUUCAGAAAAUCUCGUAUUAUACGUAUGUAUCUCAGAUGUGUUAGUAAUAAAGAACGUAUAUAAUAUGGAACAGUACCUUUAGAAAGAUGAUACAUGAAAGUAGAAGUAUUAAGUUUGUCUAAAUCAUAAAUAUUAAAAAUGUUUAAAUAAAGAUUUAGAAUGCGAA